GAUGAACGCUGGCGGCGUGCCUAAUACAUGCAAGUCGAGCGAACAGACGAUGAGCUUGCUCCUCUGACGUUAGCGACGGGCGGGUGAGUAAGACGUGGAUAACCUACCUCUUUGACUUGGAUAACUUCGGGAAACCGGAGCUACUAACGGAUACUAUAUUUAACGGCAUGGUUCAGUAGUUAUAGCCGGUUUUGCUGUCAUUUUUAGCUGGAUCCUCGUCGGCUUAGCUAGUUGGUAGGGUAACGGCUUACCAAGGCAACGAUGCGUGGCCGACCUGAGAAGGUGGACCGCCACAAUGAGAAUGGAACACGGUCCAGAAUCCUAAGGGAGGCAGCAGUUGGGAAUCUUUGGAAAGGGGCGGAAGCCUGACGGAGCAACGACGCGUGAGUGAAGAAGGGCUUCGGAUCGGAAAACGCUUUUAUUAGGGAAGAACAAAUGCGUAAGUAACGAUGCCCGUCUUGACGGUACCUAAUCAAAAAGCAACGGCUAACUACGUG
rnacentral:rRNA from 1 species